UCUUAGCCCCGACAGUAGUGGCAUCCCGCCUUUGGCGGAUACAGCGGAUGGCGGGAACAGGG
rnacentral:sRNA from 1 species